GCUGAAGCCUGAGGUGACGACUCUGACUUCCACACAGUUCUAGCGUUCACACUGAUCCUAAACUCUGGUCACUGAGGUUUGGAGGGGCAACAUUCUUCUCAUGUCUAAAACAAGGUUCAGAGCAGUUUACCUGAUGACCACCUGUGGUGAGCUUUCAUUGGACUGACCUGAGGACUUUCACCUGCAAGACAAACAAAUGGAGUCGUGGGAGUUCAGAGGAACGGGUCCCUGCCUUGCUGUGCCAGCCUGUCCGCCAUGGAGAAGAGCAGCUCCCGCAGUUCCUCCGUGGCCUGGGGGCCUUCCAUCCUGGGGAGGGUCAAAGCUGGCUCCC